UGAGGAAUAUUGGUCAAUGGGCGAGAGCCUGAACCAGCCAAGUAGCGUGCAGGAUGACGGCCCUAUGGGUUGUAAACUGCUUUUAUAUGGGAAUAAAGUGAGGGACGUGUCCCUUAUUGCAUGUACCAUAUGAAUAAGGACCGGCUAAUUACGUGCCAGCAGCCGCGGUAAUACGUAAGGUCCGAGCGUUGUCCGGAAUCAUUGGGCGUAAAGGGUACGUAGGCGGAUAAGCAAGUUAGAAGUGAAAUCCUAUAGCUCAACUAUAGUAAGCUUUUAAAACUGCUCAUCUUGAGGUAUGGAAGGGAAAGUGGAAUUCCUAGUGUAGCGGUGAAAUGCGCAGAUAUUAGGAGGAAUACCGGUGGCGAAGGCGACUUUCUGGCCAUAAACUGACGCUGAGGUACGAAAGCGUGGGUAGCAAACAGG
rnacentral:rRNA from 1 species